rnacentral:rRNA from 1 species
AACGAACGCUGGCGGCAGGCUUAACACAUGCAAGUCGAGCGCCCCGCCAGGGGCGCGGCAGACGGGUGAGUAACGCGUGGGAAUCUACCCAUCUCUACGGAAUAACGCAUGGAGACGAGUGCUAAUACCGUAAACGUCCUUCGGGAGAAAGAUUUAUCGGAGAUGGAUGAGCCCGCGUUGGAUUAGCUAGUUGGUGGGGUAAAGGCCGACCAAGGCGACGAUCCAUAGCUGGUCUGAGAGGAUGAUCAGCCACACUGGGACGGAGACACGGCCCAGACUCCUACGGGAGGCAGCAGUGGGGAAUAUUGGACAAUGGGCGCAAGCCUGAUCCAGCCAUGCCGCGUGAGUGAUGAAGGCCCUAGGGUUGUAAAGCUCUUUCACCGGUGAAGAUAAUGACGGUAACCGGAGAAGAAGCCCCGGCUAACUUCGUGCCAGCCGCCGCAGUAAAAC